GGACAUAUCAUAACGAAGAGGUAUCGUAAUUGAAGAGGUUUGGAAAGACCCACCACAGAAGGUAAUAGUCCUGUAUGUUAAACGAGAAGACUUCAGAUAUGAUCCAGAGUACCACGGGACACGUGAAACCCUGUGGGAAGCAGGAGGGACCACCCUCCAAGGCUAAAUACUACCUAGUGACCGAUAGCGUAUAGUACCGUGAGGGAAAGGUGAAAAGAACCCCGGGAGGGGAGUGAAAUAGAACCUGAAACCCUGCACUUACAAGCUGUGGAAGCACAUUUCUUGUGUGACCGCGUACUUUUUGUAGAACGGGCCAACGAGUUACGUUAAGUAGCAAGGUUAAGCACUUAAGGUGCGGAGCCGUAGCGAAAGCGAGUUUUAACUGAGCGUUCAGUUACUUGACGUAGACCCGAAACCGGGCGACCUACCCAUGAGCAGGAUGAAGCGAAAGUAAAAUUUCGUGGAGGUCCGAACCCACGAGCGUUGAAAAGCUCGGGGAUGACUUGUGGGUAGCGGUGAAAUUCCAAUCGAGCCCGGAGAUAGCUGGUUCUCCCCGAAAUAGCUUUAGGGCUAGCCUCAAGGUGAGAGAUACGGAGGUAGAGCACUGAAUGUCCUAGGGGGUAUUGCACCUACCGAAGACUAUCAAACUCCGAAUGCCGUCAUCUUAUACUUGGGAGUCAGACUGUGGGUGAUAAGAUUCAUAGUCGAAAGGGCAACAGCCCAGAUCGUCAGCUAAGGUCCCUAAAUGUAAGUUAAGUGGUAAAGGAUGUGGGAUUGCACAGACAACCAGGAUGUUGGCUUAGAAGCAGCCACUCAUUCAAAGAGUGCGUAAUAGCUCACUGGUCGAGUGAUCCUGCGCCGAAGAUUUCCGGGGCUAAAACUUACUACCGAAGCUACGGCAUCAGUAAUGAUGGGUAGGGGAGCUUCCCAUACGGGUUGAAGCAUGACCGUAAGGACAUGUGGACAGUAUGGGAGUGAGAAUGUUGGCAUGAGUAGCGAGAUGUGGGUGAGAAUCCCACAGGCCGUAAACCCAAGGUUUCCAGGGGAAGGUUCGUCCGCCCUGGGUUAGUCGGGACCUAAGCUGAGGCCGAAAGGCGUAGGUGAUGGACAACAGGUUGAUAUUCCUGUACUACCGAUAACCGUUUGAGAGAAGGGAUGACACAGUAGGAUAAGCUAAGCACACUGUUGGUUAUGUGUGCCCAAGCAUUGAGGCAGUCAAAGUAGGCAAAUCCGCUUUGAUAAUGCUGGGAUGUGAUGGGGAGCGAAAUUUAGUAGCGAAGUAGCUGAUUUCACACUGUCAAGAAAAGUCUCUAUCGAGGUUAAAGGUACCCGUACCGCAAACCGACACAGGUGGGUGAGGAGAGUAUCCUAAGGCCAGCGAGAGAACUGUUGUUAAGGAACUCGGCAAAAUGACCCCGUAACUUAGGGAUAAGGGGUGCCACCAUCAGGUGGCCGCAGAGAAUAGGCCCAAGCGACUGUUUACCAAAAACAUAGGUUUCUGCUAAGUCGCAAGACGAUGUAUAGGAGCUGACGCCUGCCCGGUGCUGGAAGGUUAAGGGGAUCUGUUAGAGCAAUCGAAGCAGUGAACUUAAGCCCCAGUAAACGGCGGCCGUAACUAUAACGGUCCUAAGGUAGCGAAAUUCCUUGUCGGGUAAGUUCCGACCCGCACGAAAGGCGUAACGAUUUGGGCACUGUCUCAACAACAGACUCGGUGAAAUUGUAAUUCCGGUGAAGAUGCCGGAUACCUGCGACAGGACGGAAAGACCCCAUGGAGCUUUACUGUAGCUUGACAUUGGGUCUUGGUACUACAUGUACAGGAUAGGUGGGAGGCUUUGAAACCAGGACGCCAGUUUUGGCGGAGCCAUCCUUGGGAUACCACCCUUGUAGUACUGGGACUCUAACCAUAGGCCAUGAAUCUGGUCUUGGGACACUGUCA
rnacentral:rRNA from 1 species